AUGAUAAGUCCUAGGAGCCUAGUUCAGCAGGCAAAGAAGUGGCAGCAGAUGGCAGCCCUCAGGAAGCGGAGGCCAGCGACGAUGGGGCCGAUCCACGACGCCAACCUGCGGGGCGCAUCGGCCAUCGCAGACAAGGGCCACUGCGUUGUCUACACCACCGGUGGAGAGCGGUUCGAGGUCCCGCUGGCGUACCUCAGUACAACGGUGUUCGGGGAACUCCUGAGGAUGUCGGAGGACGAGUUCGGGUUCACGAGUGAAGACAGGAUCACGGUACCUUGCAACGCGGCGGUGAUGGCGUAUGUGAUAUGCUUGCUUAAAAGAAAGCCUUCAGAGGAGGUGGAGAGAGCCGUCCUUAGCUCUGUGGUAAUGCCACGCAGCAACCAGAGUGGCAUCGCCAUGGUUUGCACGGGUCUUGGCCAGUCAAUGGCUAUAUUUUAG
rnacentral:rRNA from 1 species